UAGCGCGGUGGUCCCACCUGACCCCAUACCGAACUCAGAAGUGAAACGCCGUAGCGCCGAUGGUAGUGUGGGGUCUCCCCAUGCGAGAGUAGGGAACUGCCAGGC
rnacentral:rRNA from 2 species